GCAGAGGUGGUUUAGUGGCAGAGCCCUCGCCUUCCAUGCUAGAGAUCUGGGUUUGAUUCCCAGCCAAUGCA
rnacentral:tRNA from 1 species